rnacentral:tRNA from 1 species
AAGCAAAACCUAAUUGAUAGGGUCACAGUGAUAGUGAGAUUAAGUGCGCGACACUUGUUUAAAUAA